AUGGCCCACACACCUUCUGCCUGAGGUGUCUCCGCUCAUCGUCAUGUGGCGGUUUGUACUUGGGCUCGUUUUAUGGCCCACACCUUCUAUUUGAGGUGUCUCCGCUCAUCAUGAAGCGGUCACAUCCUCCUUCAUCGGGGAUGUCUCCAGUGACUCCAAGAUUCUCUACCACCAUGUGGACUUGGGAGAGAUCACUGCCACUGAUCACAUAGAAAGAGAGAGUUGCGUUAUACUCCUCGCAAUUCUCCACCUCGAUUUCUAUGUUUGGAGCUUCUACGCCUUUCUGCUUGAUAGCUCCACCCAUACCAACUCUCUUUGGUGUCUUCGCCUUUCAUCGGCGGUCGCACCCCCUUAAUUAGGUGCUUCUGCAACAGCUCAUCUUU
rnacentral:lncRNA from 1 species